AGGGAUUGCCCUAGUAACGGCGAGUGAAGCGGCAACAGCUCAAAUUUGAAAUCUGGCGCAAGCCCGAGUUGUAAUUUGUAGAGGAUGCUUCUAGGUAGCGACCGGUCUAAGUUCCUUGGAACAGGACGUCAUAGAGGGUGAGAAUCCCGUAUGUGACCGGCCCGCACCUUCUACGUAGCUCCUUCGACGAGUCGAGUUGUUUGGGAAUGCAGCUCUAAAUGGGAGGUAAAUUUCUUCUAAAGCUAAAUACCGGCCAGAGACCGAUAGCGCACAAGUAGAGUGAUCGAAAGAUGAAAAGCACUUUGGAAAGAGAGUUAAAAAGCACGUGAAAUUGUUGAAAGGGAAGCGCUCACAACCAGACUUCUGGGCGGUGUUCCGCCGGUCUUCUGACCGGUCUACUCGCCGUCCCGAGGCCAACAUCAUCUGGGACCGCCGGAUAAGACCUUAGGAAUGUAGCUCCCCUCGGGGAGUGUUAUAGCCUGUGGUGAUGCGGCGCGUCUCGGGUGAGGUCCGCGCUUCGGCAAGGAUGUUGGCGUAAUGGUUGUCAGCGGCCCGUCUUGAAACACGGACCAAGGAGUCUAACAUCUAUGCGAGUGUUCGGGUGUCAAACCCCUACGCGUAAUGAAAGUGAACGGAGGUGGGAAGGGUAACCUGCACCAUCGACCGAUCCUGAUGUCCUCGGAUGGAUUUGAGUAAGAGCAUAGCUGUUGGGACCCGAAAGAUGGUGAACUAUGCCUGAAUAGGGUGAAGCCAGAGGAAACUCUGGUGGAGGCUCGCAGCGGUUCUGACGUGCAAAUCGAUCGUCAAAUUUGGGUA
rnacentral:rRNA from 1 species